GAGAGGGUGAGCUGGGUUGCCAUAUUUCUGUUGACAGUUUUUUUUCUUUGAUCACUGUGAUCAUUUUAGUCAUCAGUUUUGUGCACGCUAUCAUGAGUUGAUCAACUUUUUGUGAAAAAUAUUUAUUGGAUAUCAGUGAUUUUUUUGCUCUAGUGCGUCAGACAAGUCUACUAAGCCAAAACCCAGCGACUCAGCAGCUUUUUGAUUCUGUGAAGUCGCUCCAAUAAAUAUAAAAGGAUCCUCUCUCACUGUAUGGUGUGUGAAAAGUGUUUUACCAGAAACAUCACAGCAGGUAAAGGUGUGUUCCUGCGGAUGUGAAUCAUGGAGAAGAUAUGAGGCCAGUGUCCUUCUCUGGCCCCCACAAACAGCAUCCUACAACACAAAAAAUGACCUACAAUCAGCAUCUAAGCUGCCAUUCUCAACUGGAAACAGGAGAACAUGAACCAAUCUGGGCUUAGAUUACCUGGGAGCCCCAAAGAAGCCACCAUUGAGGGCUCCAAGGCAAGACAGGGACACCAGAAUAGGAAUCACUGAUGACAAUCCCUGGAGAGCACGGUUUGCAAAUGUCUGCAGAAGAAUAAAAGCUUAAUAAGACCAACAUUUAAACUUUUAGUACCCUCAUAACUCAUAUGGUUUCCCUUUGAAAUGCCCAGUACCGACCACAGCUACAGCUUCUGAGAGCAGCAGCUCAGCAGGAGUCAUCAUGGUGUAGUAGGCCACAUUAACGAGCACAUAAAAGAUUGUCACUGCCACCAUGGAGCAGAUUAUUGCCAGCGGGAUGUUUCUGACAGGACAGGACACAUGCAGAGAAUGAUAUUUCAAGACAACCCGGCUUGUAAAAUGAUAUUAGAGUGGGGAGUAAAUGUCAGAUUAAAAUACCUGUUUGGGUUUAUGACUUCUUCUGUGACAAAGUUCAAAUAAAACCUGGAGGAAAAAUGGAAAUUACA